GAUGAACGCUGGCGGCGUGCCUAAUACAUGCAAGUCGAGCGAAUGGAUUAAGAGCUUGCUCUUAUGAAGUUAGCGGCGGACGGGUGAGUAACACGUGGGUAACCUGCCCAUAAGACUGGGAUAACUCCGGGAAACCGGGGCUAAUACCGGAUAACAUUUUGAACCGCAUGGUUCGAAAUUGAAAGGCCGCUUCGGCUGUCACUUAUGGAUGGACCCGCGUCGCAUUAGCUAGUUAGUGAGGUAACGGCUCACCAAGGCAACGAUGCGUAGCCGACCUGAGAGGGUGAUCGGCCACACUGGGACUGAGACACGGCCCAGACUCCUACGGGAGGCAGCAGUAGGGAAUCUUCCGCAAUGGACGAAAGUCUGACGGAGCAACGCCGCGUGAGUGAUGAAGGCUUUCGGGUCGUAAAACUCUGUUGUUAGGGAAGAACAAGUGCUAGUUGAAUAAGCUGGCACCUUGACGGUACCUAACCAGAAAGCCACGGCUAACUACGUGCCAGCAGCCGCAGUAA
rnacentral:rRNA from 1 species